AUCCAGCUGAUGAGUUUCAAAUAGGACGAAACGCGCGUCCUAGAU
rnacentral:hammerhead_ribozyme from 1 species